UAAAACUAAUCCAUUCUAGCGUACAUACAUGAUACAUCCUGUAAAUCAGAAGACAAUAUAUUCAAAAAUUGAGCAGAAAGAUCUGAACUAGAUAUUAAUCUUUCAAAGAGAACCCAACAGAUCUAACAAACUGACAUUGAAGGAACAUGUGAUCAGCUAUCUCGGGAUCUCGCCAGCAGAAUUUUAAAAGAAGAAAAAGGGUCCUCCAAGCCACCCCCAUUUACUUGAAGUAUCAACUGGUCUAGCAGCUUGUUGCAGACCACUAAAUUCCUGAAUAUUUUGAACCUUCAGAGGAGCUGGUCUCUGCCAUAUGCUUCUCACAGUUGAGAACAGAAGCCCCCCGCUAUUCAGAAACUGACAAAAACCUAGGGACGGAAAAAUGAAGGAAAAGAAAACCCCCUUGGUGAAACAAAUAAGCAAGGAUAUUCAAGAACUGGAGCACCGCAAAAAGAUCUUGAUGUUGAGGCUGAUUUUAGAAAUGCGUUAACAUUGGCUUCCAAAAUGGAUUGCCGUCUUUGCUCAUAAAACUAAGCAACCCAAGUAUCUGGUUUCCAAGCAGCAACAUAUAGACAAGGGUGCCUCUCAGCAAGCACAGAAUCUCCAGCCUGUUUAUCCUUUCAGAACGUAGCUUCCAACCUUAGCUUUAAACUGCAAGAGAAACUGGGGGCCACCUUAAGUACACCUUUCCAAAAUUAGCAACUCUCGGGGAGCAACAGAGUUUGAAAUCUACUUGUCAGAGCCACUUCCCCCACCAAGUUGAACUCCCUUAGGUUCACGAUACCAAGACUCUCUAAUCUAGCAGACUUGACCAGCCUGCAGUAGAGCGGACACCCCUGCCAAGAGAAAACGUGAUGGCAUAUAGCAUCGAUAAGCCAGAUAACAAUCAGGCAUCAGGAAGAAUGCCAUGAAGUACAUCAAAAAAUACUAAGCAAUGGACUGCAAUAGCAUUAAACGACCACCAUAAAAUAAUGUGUCAUUUCCAACCAGAAAGCCUGUCGUCCACCCUCUCAAUCACCUGGUCCCUAUCCUCAUGAUGCAGCUGUUUGUCGAUCAAUGGAAGCCCAAAAAAAAUUUAGAGCUAGAAAUUGCUGCUUGCAAUUCAGAAGUCUCGCAACCCACUGUCCUCAACCAUCCCUGCGGCCAAGGAAAACCAACUCAAUCUUGUGAAAUUCACCCUGAGCCCAGAUAGGAUCCUUUUUUCUGAUGGGACCAGAUAGGCCUUCAAAACAAUAGAGAACAAAUUUGGGCUUGGACUUCUUGAUACAUGCGUACAAUCUAGGUUUGUGUCACUGUUUCCAGUAAAGUUACAUAAACAAUUUCAGAAGGCUGAACAAUGUGAGGUCCCAAUCAUUAGCCAAUUAACUAAAAUUGAACCAAGUUAGAUUAGUAAUUACAAUACAGAGUAAUAACUUAUAUUGUAAUUGAGUAAAGUAUAAACAAGUAAUCAAUGCUCAACACUUUAGAAUCUAGAUUUAGAGGAUUUGCUUGCUUAAACUAUCAUGCUUUAGUUUCUUAACUGUCAUAGCCCAAAACCAAGCCCAAGCCCAACUAUCUAAGACCCAAGCCCAUUCAAAAAAAAAAAAA
rnacentral:lncRNA from 1 species